CACGUAGGGCGCAAGCGUUGUCCGGAAUUAUUGGGCGUAAAGAGCUCGUAGGCGGUCUGUUGCGUCCGCUGUGAAAACUCGGGGCUUAACCCCGAGCCUGCAGUGGAUACGGGCAGACUAGAGGUAGGUAGGGGAGAAUGGAAUUCCCGGUGUAGCGGUGAAAUGCGCAGAUAUCAGGAGGAACACCAGUGGCGAAAGCGGCUUCCUGGUCCAGCACCGACGUUCAGGCACGAAAGCGUGGGGAGCAAACAGG
rnacentral:rRNA from 1 species